rnacentral:rRNA from 1 species
GGGACGGGUGAGUAAUGUCUGGGAAACUGCCUGAUGGAGGGGGAUAACUACUGGAAACGGUAGCUAAUACCGCAUAACGUCGCAAGACCAAAGAGGGGACCUUCGGGCCUCUUGCCAUCAGAUGUGCCCAGAUGGGAUUAGCUUGUUGGUGGGGUAACGGCUCACCAAGGCGACGAUCCCUAGCUGGUCUGAGAGGAUGACCAGCCACACUGGAACUGAGACACGGUCCAG